rnacentral:rRNA from 1 species
UACGGGGGGAGCAAGCGUUGUUCGGAUUUACUGGGCGUAAAGGGCGCGUAGGCGGCCACCGCAAGUCGACUGUGAAAUCUCCGGGCUUAACCCGGAAAGGUCAGCCGAUACUGCGGGGCUAGAGUGCAGAAGGGGCAACUGGAAUUCUCGGUGUAGCGGUGAAAUGCGUAGAUAUCUGGAGGAACACCGGUGGCGAAGGCGGCAUCCUGGACCGACACUGACACUGAGGAGCGAAAGCCAGGGGAGCAAACGGG